AUUGAACGCUGGCGGCAUGCCUUACACAUGCAAGUCGAACGGCAGCACAGGAGCAAUCCUGGUGGCGAGUGGCGAACGGGUGAGUAAUACAUCGGAACGUGCCCUGUCGUGGGGGAUAACUAGUCGAAAGAUUAGCUAAUACCGCAUACGACCUGAGGGUGAAAGCGGGGGACCGCAAGGCCUCGCGCGAUAGGAGCGGCCGAUGUCUGAUUAGCUAGUUGGUGGGGUAAAGGCCCACCAAGGCGACGAUCAGUAGCUGGUCUGAGAGGACGAUCAGCCACACUGGGACUGAGACACGGCCCAG
rnacentral:rRNA from 1 species